GGGUAUGGAAUGCUUUUGUGAUGGACCUUGUUCUCGAGUUUGCGUUGAUCCGAAUAUUACCUGUCGUGGAGCACCCGAUGUACGGCACGCUACCGUUAAUUACACCGGAUCUGCAAUACGUAAAGUUGCCAGAUAUUCCUGUGAUUACGGAUAUUACUUGGCCUAUGGAUCUCGCUCUCUUUACUGUUCAGGGUCGGGGUUGUGGAUUGGAGACGAACCUAUUUGCUUGCCUGUAAAAUGUGGCGACCCCAGUACGAGCAUACAGGAAACCGGAGGAUCUGUC